rnacentral:rRNA from 1 species
GGCCGGGGGGGGAUGCUCACCAUGUUAUAUCGAACGAUGAAGCCUAGCUUGCUGGGUGGAUUAGUGGCGAACGGGUGAGUAACACGUGAGUAACCUGCCCCUGACUCUGGGAUAAGCCUGAGAAAUUGGGUCUAAUACCGGAUAUGAACAUUUGUCGCAUGGUGGGUGUUGGAAAGAUUUUUUGGUUGGGGAUGGGCUCGCGGCCUAUCAGCUUGUUGGUGAGGUAGUGGCUCACCAAGGCGACGACGGGUAGCCGGCCUGAGAGGGUGACCGGCCACACUGGGACUGAGACACGGCCCAGACUCCUACGGGAGGCAGCAGUGGGGAAUAUUGCACAAUGGGCGAAAGCCUGAUGCAGCGACGCCGCGUGAGGGAUGACGGCCUUCGGGUUGUAAACCUCUUUCAGUAAGGAAGAAGCGAAAGUGACGGUACUUGCAGAAGAAGCGCCGGCUAACUACGUGCCAGCAGCCGCGGUAAUACGUAGGGCGCGAGCGUUAUCCGGAAUUAUUGGGCGUAAAGAGCUCGUAGGCGGUUUGUCGCGUCUGCCGUGAAAGUCCGGGGCUUAACUCCGGAUCUGCGGUGGGUACGGGCAGGCUAGAGUGCAGUAGGGGAGACUGGAAUUCCUGGUGUAGCGGUGAAAUGCGCAGAUAUCAGGAGGAACACCGAUGGCGAAGGCAGGUCUCUGGGCUGUAACUGACGCUGAGGAGCGAAAGCAUGGGUAGCGAACAGGAUUAGAUACCCUGGUAGUCCAUGCCGUAAACGUUGGGCACUAGGUGUGGGGGACAUUCCACGUUUUCCGC